CGGACAAAAACUUAAGUAGAUUGAAUCAGUCGUGCCGCCUGUGCCUUGCCGAAGAUGGAUUGAUGGUGCAUUUAUUCGGUGAAGAAACCUGUGGACAUAAGAUAUCCCUGCCUGAAAGGAUACUGUAUUGUACCACAAUUGAGGUUAGGUGGCUAGGCUAGGGUAGGCUUACGCAUUCGCACCCCGAUAUACCCGUUUACAAACUGCAAUUUGUAUUAUUUAACGCCCAUAAGUAAAGGUCAAGGCUAAUGAUGGAUUGCCUGUGAAUAUUUGCCACCGCUGCAUCUAUCGUGUAGAUACAUUUUAUGAAUUUCGGUCAAAUUGUCUACGAGUUGAUGCUGCACUCCACACCUUUUGCAAUGAUAUUAAGUCCAC
rnacentral:misc_RNA from 1 species